UACGUAGGGGGCUAGCGUUGUCCGGAAUCAUUGGGCGUAAAGAGCGCGUAGGCGGCCAGAUAAGUCCGGUGUGAAAGUCACAGGCUCAACCUGUGAAUGCCGCUGGAAACUGUCUGGCUAGAGUCCGGGAGGGGCGAGUGGAAUUCCUGGUGUACCGGUGAAAUGCGCAGAUAUCAGGAGGAACACCAAUGGCGAAGGCAGCUCGCUGGAACGGUACUGACGCUGAGGCGCGAAAGCGUGGGGAGCAAACAGG
rnacentral:rRNA from 1 species